AUGGAGCAAACUUGUGGACAUGCUCACAUGCUUUUGUACAGCUGACUUCUCUCAGAUGCAUUCUUUCAGCCCUCUCUCAUUGUACUCUUGAGCAUAUGAGUAGUGUAACUGCCAGGAGUUGUAAAGGAUCUCCAGAAGACACAAAGAACUUUAUCUGAACUUCAUAUACCUGCAUUAAAGUGUAGAAUGGAAGAUGGCAUUUUACAGUUCAUCAGUAAGGCAGUUUCCAGAGGCUCUUCACCUUUGGGAUCUAGAAGAAAAUAGUGCUUACAGUUUGCUGGCUGUGAAGGAGCUAUGGGGACUGACACCUCUGCCUGUGGCUGCAAACUCACCUCAUCACUCGGCCCCUCAGGGUCACUGGAGGAGCAUCUGCUGAGGCCAUGGUUUGGGGAGUGCUCAUCGUCAACUGGCGUUGUGUCCACCACGUCUACCACAUCGUGUCCAGACAUGCGGGAGGAGGGUGAGUGAGAGCAAAGUAACCACACAGCUGCCUGGCGAGGAGCAAGGGGUCACCGCAGGAAACGAGAAGCGACUUAUCUGUAGAAGUGAUACCUUGGUUGCAGUACUCUUCAUCACUCAGAACGGUUUUUCAGUACUAGAAGUAUGAGAAGAUGAUGACACUAAGAUGAGAACUGAAGAUAUAUUUGAUCAGAAAAAAAUAUGAAGAUUUCAGAGCUUACAAAACAAAUGCGAUGAUUUUCUUGGCCCCAUCCACAAAACCAUUUCCCACUGGAAAACUUCUGCAACCUUAAUGAACUCCAGAAGCAGUAGUUGUGUGUGCAUUUACAAAAAUCUUAAUGUGUGAGCAACUUGUCAGAAUGGUGUCCACCUGAAUUCAGGGAUCUGUACAGCUUUGCAAACCUGAGAAGCACCAAAUGGGAGAAGGGCAUGUGAAGUAUUUUUAUUUGUGUACAUCUAGCUGAAAGGUUUAUUUAUUCUUGUAUUUAGGCCAAACACAAGAGAAGCGAGCCUAUCUUACCUGAUAUGUACUAUAUUAGUGUGAUCACUGUGCUGGAAAUGACCAAUUUUCUUUUGCAAUAUUAUUCCUAUGGUCAGCUGCCAAAAAAAAAAAUGUUAAAAUUUUGCCAUAUUUUCUGCUCAAAUUUUUGUAAUAUCUAUAUUGCAUAUAUGUAACUGCAGUAUAUAAGUUGGUGACAAUGGCUUUUUGUAUAUGAUGUGAUAUAUAUGUUAAACAUCUUGGAUAAGUAAGUUGUUGGCCUCCGUAUUUAAUAAAAGCAUACAAAUACUGAA